GGAUGAAAUGGUAAGGCUAAUCUCAUGGAAAUGUGGCAACAUAUACACUAUGCAUAUGGAUAUAUGUUGCCACAUUUCCAUGAGAUUAGCCUUACCAUUUGAUCUUCACACU
rnacentral:miRNA from 1 species